rnacentral:lncRNA from 1 species
GGACAGCUGAAAGUGGACUGCAUUAUCUCAAAGGAUCCCACCAGUCCAGGCUGCAAGAUUUCAUCAUAGCUGAACCUUUGGCAGAAAAUGCAGCCACGAAACCGCAGUGGUCCCUGGAAUACUGGAGGGGAAUGCAGAGUAGAAGCCUGAGCCACACACACAGCCUCCUCCUCUCCCAGGUAAGCCACUGCCCGCCCUUGCAUCAGAGGAGUCACACCUGGGGCAUGUGCUAAAGCCCUUGCUGAGCUGGGAGGCUCCUCUGUGCCUAAACCCCAGAGUAUCCAGAAGGGCAAACUGAGGACCAGACCGGGAGCAGGGCCUGCCCAAGGUCAAACCACAGAUUAGUGCCCGUGGCAGGGCUCUUGCUUGUCAGUCAGCACAGAGUUCUCAGCUCUCCUAGCACAGAACCCUGAGGUGGGAAGGGGCUCGUCACAGCUACACCAAGCUCUGAAGG